CUGGAUAGAUCCUUUUUCUGGCAAAUCAGAGUCCUUCAUUUUCUUGGCACAAAGACUGGCCUGGAGAAGCUAAAAGGAUAUCAGUCUGGAGAAAGCUGAGGGUAGACAUAUAAGAAGCCAAAUGGAGACCAGACGAAAUGAGGGAAGCAGAAGAACAGACUUACAGCCAACUGGAGGCAGAUGGUCCUGCUGACGACGGGUCAGAAGGUCAGUGGUCACCUACCUCUACGUCACAAUCCUGCGUCCUUCACCGACUUCUCAUCACAGAGGCAUUUUCUCACCUCACAUCAUUACGAGUAGGGGCUCAUGAAAGAUACAAGCUCAAGACAAAAGAGAACAAGAAAACCUUGGAACCAGAUUUCUGGUCACAAUAAAAAUUACU